rnacentral:rRNA from 1 species
AGUGAACGCUGGCGGCAGGCCUAAUACAUGCAAGUCGAACGGCAGCACAGUGGAUCUUGCUCCAUGGGUGGCGAGUGGCGGACGUGUGAGGAAUACAUGGGAAUCUGCCCAGUCGUGGGGGAUAACGUAGGUAAACUUACGCUAAUACCGCAUGCGCCCUUCGUGUGAAAGCCGGGGACUUUCUGGCCUGGAGGAGUUGCUUGAGCCCAUGUUCGAUUUGCGAGUUGGCGGGGUAAAGGCCCACCAAGGCGGCGAUCGAUAGCUGGGCUGAGAGGAUGAUCAGCGACACUGGGACUGAGACACGGCCCAGGCUCCUACGGGAGGCAGCAGUAGGGAAUAUUGGACACUGGGCGCAAGCCUGAUCCAGCCAUGCCGCGUGAGUGAAGAAGGCCCUCGGGUUGUAAAGCUCUUUUGUCCGGGAAGAAAAGCAUCGGGCUAAUACCUCGGUGUUCUGACGGUACCGGAAGAAUAAGCACCGGCUAACUUCGUG